AUUGAACGCUGGCGGCAGGCCUAACACAUGCAAGUCGAACGAGUGGCGGACGGGUGAGUAAUGUCUGGGAAACUGCCUGAUGGAGGGGGCUAACUACUGGAAACGGUAGCUAAUAACGCAUACCAUCGGAUGUGCCCAGAUGGGAUUAGCUAGUAGGUGGGGUAACGGCUCACGUAGGCGACGAGCCCUGGAUGGUCUGCGAGGAUGACCAGCCACACUGGAAGUGAGACACGGUCCGGACUCCUACGGGAGGCAGCAGUGGGGAAUAGUGCACAAUGGGCGCAAGCCUGAUGCAGCCAUGUCGCGUGUAGGAAGAAGUCCUUCGGGUUGUAAAGUACUUGCAGCGGGGAGGCGUUACCCGGAGAAGAAGCACCGGCGAACGCCGUGCCAGCAGCGGCGGUAGUUG
rnacentral:rRNA from 1 species